rnacentral:rRNA from 1 species
UAACCUGGUUGAUCCUGCCAGUAGUCAUAUGCUUGUCUUAAAGAUUAAUCCAUGCAUGUGUAAGUAUAAGUAUUGUACAGCGAAACUGCGAAUGGCUCAUUACAUCAGUUAUAAUUUAUUUGAUAAUCGAAAGUUACAUGGAUAACCGUGACAAAUUACAGCUAAUACAUGCAGUCAGACCUGGUCCAAGGGUCGUAAUUAUUAGUAUUAAACCAUUUCCGCAAGGAGUGUGAUGAUUCAUAAUAAUCGAACGAAUCGCCUGGUGUGCGAUAAAUCAUUCAAGUUUCUGCCCUAUCAGCUUUGGAUGGUAGUGUAUUGGACUACCAUGGCAGUCACGGGUAACGGAGAAUUAGGGUUCGAUUCCGGAGAGGGAGCCUGAGAAACGGCUACCACAUCUACGGAAGGCAGCAGGAGCGAAAAUUGCCCAAUCCCGACACGGGGAGGCAGUGACGAGAAAUAACAACUCUUGGUUAUUCUAAGAAGUGUAAUGAGGAUAAUUUAAAACCCUUACCGAAAGCAAUUGGAGAGCAAGUCUGGUGCCAGCAGCCGCGGUAAUUCCAGCUCCAAUAGCGUAUAUUAAAGUUGUUGCAGUUAAAAAGCUCGUAGUUGAAGUUCUGGCUGCUCGACCCUCGAGCUCUGUAGCCGGGGGCUCGGCAGUCAUCCGCUUGCAAACAUAUGUUCGCCUUUAACCGGGCGGCUAUGUGAGCAAGCAUUUUACCUUGAGAAAAACAGAGUGUUCCAGGCAGGUUUGUCCGGAAUGCAUUAGCAUGGAAUAAUAGAAUAUGACUGAAGUCGAUUUAUUGGUUUGAGGCUUUAGUAAUGAUUAAUAGGAACAGUCGGGGGCAUUGGUACUUGUCAGUCAGAGGUGAAAUUCUAGGAUUUGACAAAGACUAACAAAUGCGAAAGCAUUUGCCAAGGAUGUUUUCAUUAAUCAAGAACGAAAGUUAGGGGAUCAAAGACGAUCAGAUACCGUCCUAGUCUUAACUAUAAACUAUACCGACUCGGAUUCAGAUGAAUCAUAAAGUUCAUUUGGGACCGUAGGAGAAAUCAAAGUUUUUGGGUUCUGGGGGAAGUAUGGUCGCAAGGCUGAAACUUAAAGGAAUUGACGGUUUUGCACCACCAUGGAGUGGAGUCUGCGGCUUAAUUUGACUCAACACUGGGAAACUCAUCAGGGCAAGAAGAUUGUAGGAUUGACAGAUUGAGAGUUCUUUCUUGAUUGGUCUAGUGGUGGUGCAUGGCCGUUCUUAGUUGGUGGAGUGAUUUGUCUGGUUAAUUCCGUUAACGAACGAGACCUUAACCUGCUAACUAGUAUAUCGAUGACAAAUCGAUAUUACUUCUUAGAGGGACUAUGUGAUGUAAUCACAUGGAAGUUUGAGGCAAUAACAGGUCUGUGAUGCCCUUAGAUGUCCUGAGCUGCACGCGUACUACAAUGGUGCUUUCAACGAGCUUUUCCUGAUCCGAAAGGAUUUGGGUAAUCUUUUUAGUGAGCACCGUGUUUGGGAUAGAUCUUUGUAAUUAUGGAUCUUGAACUAGGAAUUCCUAGUAAGCGCGCGUCAUCAGCGCGUGCUGAUUACGUCCCUGCAAAAUGUACACACCGCCCGUCGCUAUUACCGAUUGAGUGUAAAGGUGAACCUUCUCGAUAGACGCAAGUUUAAAAAUUAAGUAAACCUUUGCACUUAGAGGAAAUAAAAGUCGUAACAAGGUUUCCGUAGGUGAACCUGCAGAAGGAUCA